GACUGCGGAGGUCAUUAUUGAAUGAAAUCGAGUGGGGUUGUCGCUGGCCUCAGCAAUGGGGCAUGUGCACACCUUGCUCAUUCCACCUUCUACACCUCUGUGCACUUCUCAUGGGUUGGGCUGCGUCUGAAAUAACGACAACGCACUUCCUGUGUGUUUUAAACCAUACACAUGUUUGUUAUAGAAUGUUUUAUGUGCAUGAAUUGCAUACAAUACAACUUUCAGCAACGGAUCUCUUGGCUCUCGCAUCGAUGAAGAACGCAGCGAAAUGCGAUAAGUAAUGUGAAUUGCAGAAUUCAGUGAAUCAUCGAAUCUUUGAACGCACCUUGCGCUCCUUGGUAUUCCGAGGAGCAUGCCUGUUUGAGUGUCAUGGUAUUCUCAACCCCCUUGCAUUUUUUGCAGAGGGAUUGGAUGUGGAGGUUUGCUGGCAGAGGAACAUUUGUUUCGAUACCGGCUUCUCUGAAAUGUAUUAGCUUGAAUGUUAUCGAGCAUGUCCCAGUGUGAUAAUUGUCUACGCUGCUUCAUGUCGGUAUUAAAAAUGGUUCAAGCUUCGAACUGUCUGUUCGCAGACACUUUCUGAUCAUCUGACCUCAAAUCAGGUAGGACUACCCGCUGAACUUAAGCAUAC
rnacentral:rRNA from 1 species